GACGAACGCUGGCGGCGUGCUUAACACAUGCAAGUCGAACGGAAAGGCCCUGCUUUUGUGGGGUGCUCGAGUGGCGAACGGGUGAGUAACACGUGAGUAACCUGCCCUUGACUUUGGGAUAACUUCAGGAAACUGGGGCUAAUACCGGAUAGGCGCUCCUGCUGCCUGGUGGGGGUUGGAAAGUUUCGGCGGUUGGGGAUGGACUCGCGGCUUAUCAGCUUGUUGGUGGGGUAGUGGCUUACCAAGGCUUUGACGGGUAGCCGGCCUGAGAGGGUGACCGGCCACAUUGGGACUGAGAUACGGCCCAGACUCCUACGGGAGGCAGCAGUGGGGAAUAUUGCACGAUGGGCGGAAGCCUGAUGCAGCAACGCCGCGUGCGGGAUGACGGCCUUCGGGUUGUAAUCCGCUUUCGCCUGUGACGAAGCGUGAGUGACGGUAAUGGGUAAAGAAGCACCGGCUAACUACGUG
rnacentral:rRNA from 1 species